AUGGCGUCCAGCACGUGCUCCCGGCCCCCGCCCAGCGACCACACCUGCCACACAGGGACACUGCGUUUACUGCCAGCCUGCCUGAAGGACAGUUCACACACAGCUCCUGUCUCCUGACUGCAAGGAAAACGCCAAAAGGAUGAGGAGCCCAUCUGAGCAAGAUGAACCUCAAGAUGGUACAAACUGUCACACUGCAGCUCAAAAAGGCAGCACAUAGCUCUGGUGGAUUAAAAGUAAAAGUAAGAGACCAUGGCAGAAGAAAUCUGUAUCUCUCAAAGAACUCCUCGAAGCUGUAGCGGACGGGGUACCCGGCCUUCCUGAUCUGGAUGGUCUCCAUCAUCCCCGAGUAGCGCAGCUGCUUGAUGCACAGCUCCCGGUCAAACAGCUGCAGGGAAAGCAGGCAGGGAGGAGGCUCAGCACUGAGAAAAGGAAUACCCUGUACUCCAGCUCUCCUUGGGUGCAGCCAAGUACAACUAGAAAAUGUUACACAGAAACUGAGAGCCUUUUCUCCUUACAAACUUUACCAAAGGAUGUUUACCUGUCCGUAGCCAGGUGUUCUGGACAGCAGAAAGCCACACUGGGAUGAAGACAGAGGAAGAAAGGACAGGAUCAGAAAACAAUGCCAGGAGAAUAGACAGGUGCAGGAUGGCAGCCAGCAGCUUGCUGAUGUCCCAGUGCUCAGAGUCUGAGAACAUGAGGAUCUUCAUCGCCGAGCGGAUGUGGGCAUAAUCCUUGGCAUCAUUCCGGCUGUCGCAGGACGUGCAGUCACCCUGCAAGCACCACACCAGCAGGUUCACUGUAUAAAGGGACCCUGCUGUAACUCCAUGUCCAAAUCAGAGGUUUACUCCGGAAGUCACCAUCCCCCGGGAGCUCAGGGUGAACUUUCAGUCAAUCCUGAAAGGCUAAAUCUGGAGGAACCACCCACACAUGAACUAGAUUGAAC